GCCCCCGUGGCGCAGCGGAUAGCGCACCUGAUUACGGAUCAGGAAGUCGCAGGUUCGAAUCCUGCCGGGGGCA
rnacentral:tRNA from 1 species